rnacentral:rRNA from 1 species
GACGAACGCUGGCGGCGUGCUUAACACAUGCAAGUCGAACGGAAAGGCCCUGCUUUUGUGGGGUGCUCGAGUGGCGAACGGGUGAGUAACACGUGAGUAACCUGCCCUUGACUUUGGGAUAACUUCAGGAAACUGGGGCUAAUACCGGAUAGGAGCUCCUGCUGCGUGGUGGGGGUUGGAAAGUUUCGGCGGUUGGGGAUGGACUCGCGGCUUAUCAGCUUGUUGGUGGGGUAGUGGCUUACCAAGGCUUUGACGGGUAGCCGGCCUGAGAGGGUGACCGGCGACAUUGGGACUGAGAUACGGCCCAGACUCCUACGGGAGGCAGCAGUGGGGAAUAUUGCACAAUGGGAGGAAGCCUGAUGCAGCAACGCCGCGUGCGGGAUGACGGCCUUCGGGUUGUAAACCGCUUUCGCCUGUGACGAAGCGUGAGUGACGGUAAUGGGUAAAGAAGCACCGGCUAACUACGUG